rnacentral:lncRNA from 1 species
UACAACCUUGCUGAGUGGCUUAUUUGCACCUGCUGCCUGAAUAGGGACCUUCCGCUGUGAAGAACUAUUCCCCAUAGGCUUGCUGGACCCAUUUCCGACAACACGUUGAGAGGGAUUAGUCACCAUAGGCCUACCGGAACCAUUUCCGACAACACGCUGAGAGGGAUUAGUCACCACAGGCCUACUAGAACCAUUUCCGACAACACGCUGAGAGGGAUUAGUUACCACAGGCCUACUAGAACCAUUUCCGACAACACGCUGAGAGGGAUUGGUUACCACAGGCCUACUAGAACCGUUUCCGACAACACGCUGAGAGGGAUUAGUCACCGCAGGCCUACUAGAACCAUUUCCGACAACACGCUGAGAGGGAUUAGUCACCAUAGGCUUGCUGGAACCAUUUCCGACAAAACGCUGAGAGGGAUUAGUCACCAUAGGCUUGCUGGAACCAUUUCCGACAACACGCUGAGAGGGAUUGGUCCCCAUAGGCUUGCUGGAACCAUUUCCGACAACACGCUGAGAGGGAUUGGUCCCCAUAGGCUUGCUGGAACCAUUUCCGACAAUACGCUGAGAGGGAUUGGUCCCCAUGGGCUUGCUGGAACCAUUUCCAACAGCACCACUCAAGACUUUCUGAGAAUCAGUUGAAGCUGGCAGUGGUCGGUUGAGUGGAGCUUCCUUUGCAAACCC